UUUCAGUAAGGACGAAUUUAGUGCUGCAAGCACAAACCUCACUAUCAAAUAUUUAAACUCUGCCAAAACGGCUUUAUUUAGUUUAUCUUUAAUGAUCCUCAUAGUAACAUAAUAAACAUGAUCACAGUCACAUUUGCUGAUAAAACUAAAUUAGUAAAGGGAGAUACUUAUUGAACAACAGGUAGUAUUUUUAAGAUUUGCAUACACUGAAGGCACAAUCAUCUCAGCUUUUAAUAAGGGAAAACAAAGAAGGUGGUCUAAAUAAGCCACACCCACACUGUAACUUCACAACAAGAUACUACAAUCAUAGAAUUUAAACUUCAGUUUCUAAAGCCUAGAGCAUGAAGUUAGAAAAUCUUGGAGAGAUGGAGAGAUGCUUUCUUCUGAUUCUAAUAUCCACUCCAGGUAUUUUAUCUGACAGCAUUCAACCGAAUAACAAGGAAACUAAUAUUUACACAACUGAAGAAGAGCGUUUAACACUGAGCUGCACUUAUGAUACAGGCAGCAAUUAUGUCUAUCUCUACUGGUAUAGACAGUAUCCUAAUGGGAAACCAGAAUAUAUACUGUUUAAAGGUGCCCGGACUUGGAGCAGUCUUGGAAAUAUACCAGACACACGGUUUCAGUCGAUCACAUCCCAAACAUCCACUGAACUCAGUAUUAAGAGUGUAACUCUGUCAGAUUCAGCUCUCUAUUAUUGUGCUUUAAGAGUAGGAGCCCAGUGAUACAAAAUGCCUGAGAAGCUUUACAAAAACUCACAUGUAGUUUUUGCACUUAAAAAAUUAUCAAAUACAAAAUAAACCACAGUCAUAUCUUGUGUAAAACCACAACACUUCACAAACACAAUACUGUAACA